UACGUAGGGGGCUAGCGUUGUCCGGAUUUAUUGGGCGUAAAGGGCGCGUAGGCGGCAUGGUAAGUCGGAUGUGAAAUCCCGGGGCUCAACCCCGGAACUGCAUUCGAUACUGCUGAGCUAGAGUACUGGAGAGGAGAUUGGAAUUUACGGUGUAGCGGUGAAAUGCGUAGAUAUCGUAAGGAAGACCAGUGGCGAAGGCGGAUCUCUGGACAGUUACUGACGCUGAGGCACGAAGGCCAGGGGAGCAAACGGG
rnacentral:rRNA from 1 species